UACGUAGGGGGCAAGCGUUGUCCGGAUUUAUUGGGCGUAAAGAGCGUGUAGGCGGCCAGGUAGGUCUGCUGUGAAAACUCGAGGCUCAACCUCGAGACGUCGGCGGAAACCAUCUGGCUAGAGUCCGGAAGAGGAGAGUGGAAUUCCUGGUGUAGCGGUGAAAUGCGCAGAUAUCAGGAAGAACACCCGUGGCGAAGGCGGCGACCUGGGUAGAUACUGACGCUGAGGUGCGAAAGCGUGGGGAGCAAACAGG
rnacentral:rRNA from 1 species